CCUACGGGAGACAGCAGUGAGGAAUAUUGGUCAAUGGACGAGAGUCUGAACCAGCCAAGUAGCGUGAAGGAUGACUGCCCUAUGGGUUGUAAACUUCUUUUAUAUGGGAAUAAAAUGUUCCACGUGUGGGCUUUUGUAUGUACCAUAUGAAUAAGGAUCGGCUAACUCCGUGCCAGCAGCCGCGGUAAUACGGAGGAUCCGAGCGUUAUCCGGAUUUAUUGGGUUUAAAGGGAGCGUAGGUGGAUUGUUAAGUCAGUUGUGAAAGUUUGCGGCUCAACCGUAAAAUUGCAGUUGAAACUGGCAGUCUUGAGUACAGUAGAGGUGGGCGGAAUUCGUGGUGUAGCGGUGAAAUGCUUAGAUAUCACGAAGAACUCCGAUGGCGAAGGCAGCUCACUGGACUGCAACUGACACUGAGGCUCGAAAGUGUGGGUAUCAAACAGGAUUAGAUACCCUGGUAGUC
rnacentral:rRNA from 1 species